UACGAAGGGUGCAAACGUUGCUCGGAAUUAUUGGGCGUAAAGCGCACGUAGGCGGCAUAGCAAGUCGGAUGUGAAAUCUCUCGGCUCAACCAAGGAAGUGCAUCCGAAACUGCUGUGCUUGAGUACGAAAGAGGAUCGCGGAAUUCCCGGUGUAGAGGUGAAAUUCGUAGAUAUCGGGAGGAACACCAGUGGCGAAGGCGGCGAUCUGGGUCGAUACUGACGCUGAGGUGCGAAAGCGUGGGGAGCAAACGGG
rnacentral:rRNA from 1 species